UUCAGUACCAACCAUACAUAACACCAGGUUUAGUGUUCAGUACCAACCAUACAUAACACCAGGUUUAGUGUUCAGUACCAACCAUACAUAACACCAGGUUUAGUGUUCAGUACCAACCAUACAUAACACCAGGUUUAGUGUUCAAUACCAACCAUACAUAACACCAGGUUUAGUGUUCAGUACCAACCAUACAUAACACCAGGUGUAGUGUUCAGUACCAACCAUACAUAACACCAGUUUUAGUGUUCAGUACCAACCAUACAUAACCCCAGGUUUAGUGUUCAGUACCAACCAUACAUAACCCCAGGUUUAGUGUUCAAUACCAACCAUACAUAACACCAGGUUUAGUGUUCAGUACCAACCCUACAUAACCCCAGGUUUAGUGUUCAGUACCAACCCUACAUAACCCCAGGUUUAGUGUUCAGUACCAACCAUACAUAACACCAGGUUUAGUGUUCAGUACCAACCAUACAUAACACCAGGUUUAGUGUUCAGUACCAACCAUACAUAACCCCAGGUUUAGUGUUCAGUACCAACCAUACAUAACACCAGGUUUAGUGUUCAGUACCAACCAUACAUAACCCCAGGUUUAGUGUUCAGUACCAACCAUACAUAACACCAGGUUUAGUGUUCAGUACCAACCAUACAUAACACCAGCUUUAGUGUUCAAUACCAACCAUACAUAACACCAGGUUUAGUGUUCAGUACCAACCAUACAUAACACCAGCUUUAGUGUUCAAUACCAACCAUACAUAACACCAGGUUUAGUGUUCAGUACCAACCAUACAUAACACCAGGGUUAGUGUUCAGUACCAACCAUACAUAACACCAGACUUAUGUCACAAGGUUGUUGUUGGAAGUAGUGUGUAAGAAAUAACUACAGCUCAGAUGUUUAUGGACAGUGAUAGAUUUCUUACCAUAUCUUUUGUACCUGUGAUCAACAUGCAUCAUUUUAACCAGCACAAUGUACCUUUAGUAUGAUUGGGACAAAUGUUUUGUAGUCUUGUAUAUACGGUUAACCUUUAUUUUAGACAUAGUGGUGUAUAUUUUCCUGUCAUCAAGACAAGCUAACUUGGGAUGAGGUUGGGAGUCAGGGUAGCUGUAGUAAUUGUACUUAAAUGUGAACAUGUUGUGAGAAGUAGGAGUAAAUUGUGUAAUAAAAGUAAAAGUGGCUCUCAUAGA